rnacentral:rRNA from 1 species
AUUGAACGCUGGCGGCAUGCCUUACACAUGCAAGUCGAACGGCAGCACGGGAGCAAUCCUGGUGGCGAGUGGCGAACGGGUGAGUAAAGCAACGGAACGUGCCCAGUCGUGGGGGAUAACGUAGCGAAAGCUACGCUAAUACCGCAUACGAUCUGUGGAUGAAAGCGGGGGACCGUAAGGCCUCGCGCGAUUGGAGCGGCCGAUGUCAGAUUAGGUAGUUGGUGAGGUAAAGGCUCACCAAGCCGACGAUCUGUAGCUGGUCUGAGAGGACGACCAGCCACACUGGGACUGAGACACGGCCCAGACUCCUACGGGAGGCAGCAGUGGGGAAUUUUGGACAAUGGGCGCAAGCCUGAUCCAGCAAUGCCGCGUGCAGGAUGAAGGCCUUCGGGUUGUAAACUGCUUUUGUACGGAGCGAAACGGCUUCCACUAAUACUGGGGGCUAAUGACGGUACCGUAAGAAUAAGCACCGGCUAACUACGUGCCAGCCGCCGCGGUAAAAC